rnacentral:misc_RNA from 1 species
UGUUACCUUAGCAUAUCCAUGUUUCAUGUGGAUAAUGAUCAAGAAACCCCAGAAAUUUGGUGCAAUCUGGUGCCUGAACUCGAUACUAGGGCUCUUGGGGAUGAUACUCAGCCUUCUGGUGGCUACUGGAGCAAUAUGGACUCUCGUGACAAUGGGAAUAGAGAUUCACUUCUUCAACCCGCAGUAAACAGUAUCUGUACAAUUUUACUGCUCUAGAUUUGGCGAAG